rnacentral:rRNA from 1 species
GACGAACGCUGGCGGCGUACCUAACACAUGCAAGUCGAGCGGGGGAAGGUAGCUUGCUACCGGACCUAGCGGCGGACGGGUGAGUAAUGCUUAGGAAUCUGCCUAUUAGUGGGGGACAACAUCUCGAAAGGGAUGCUAAUACCGCAUACGUCCUACGGGAGAAAGCAGGGGAUCUUCGGACCUUGCGCUAAUAGAUGAGCCUAAGUCGGAUUAGCUAGUUGGUGGGGUAAAGGCCUACCAAGGCGACGAUCUGUAGCGGGUCUGAGAGGAUGAUCCGCCACACUGGGACGGAGACACGGCCCAGACUCCUACGGGAGGCAGCAGUGGGGAAUAUUGGACAAUGGGGGGAACCCUGAUCCAGCCAUGCCGCGUGUGUGAAGAAGGCCUUAUGGUUGUAAAGCACUUUAAGCGAGGAGGAGGCUACUUUAGUUAAUACCUAGAGAUAGUGGACGUUACUCGCAGAAUAAGCACCGGCUAACUCUGUGCCAGCCGCCGCCGUAACAC